CGCGGUAUUUUGACUGUGCGAAGGUAGCAUAAUCAUUUGUCUUUUAAUUGAAGACUUGUAUGAAUGGUUGAACGAGAAAAUAACUGUCUCUUUAAAAAAUCUUGAAUUUUACUUUUAAGUGAAAAGGCUUAAAUAAUUUUAAGGGACGAUAAGACCCUAUAAAUCUUUAUAUUAUUUUUCUUUAAAUUUCAAAUUAUAUAUUAAAAGAAAAUAAAGAAAAAAAUAUUGUAUUGGGGAGAUAAAAAUAUAAUUUUUUAACUGUUUUAAAUAUAAAACAAUAAUUUUUGAUUUAUUAAAAAUUGAUCCUUUUUUAAAGAUUUUAAGAUUAAGUUACUUUAGGGAUAACAGCGUAAUUUUUUUUGAGAGUUCUUAUCGAAAAAAAAGUUUGCGACCUCGAUGUUGAAUUAAAAUAUCCUUAUAAGUGCAGAAGCUAUAAAGGAAAGUCUGUUCGACUUUUAAAAUUUUACAU
rnacentral:rRNA from 1 species